GUAUAUUUCAGCAGCAUGGAGUACCCUAGUUUGGUCAGAAUUGAUAAGGCUUGUGAAGUGCUUUGGGUGAAGGCUCUUGCAACACAAGCGUCUCCAAAACUCAGUUGUGCGUUGGCCUGGAAUCUAACCCGGACUUCACAGAGUGUGCUUUCAGGUAAGUAUUGUGCUGACUCAGCAAUUUGGUUUAAAAUUCUAAAAGAGCCUCUAUUGUAUAUUUCAGCAGCAUGAAGUUCGUCUACUACCGUAGUUUGGACAGAAUUGAUAAGGCUUGUGAAGUGCUUUGGGUGAAGGCUCUUGCAACACAAGCGUCUCCAAAACUCAGUUGUGCGUUGGCCUGGAAUCUAACCCGGACUUCACAGAGUGUGCUUUUCAGGUAAGUAUUGUGCUGACUCAGCAAUUUGGUUAAAAAUUUUCAAGGAGCCUCUCUUGCAUAUUUCAGCAGCAUGAAGUUCAUCUACUACCGUAGUUUGGACAGAAUUGAUAAGGCUUGUGAAGUGCUUUGGGUGAAGGCUCUUGCAACACAAGCGUCUCCAAAACUCAGUUGUGCGUUGGCCUGGAAUCUAACCCGGACUUCACAGAGUGUGCUUUUCAGGUAAGUAUUGUGCUGACUCAGCAAUUUGGUUUAAAAUUCUAAAGGAGCCUCUCUUGCAUAUUUCAGCAGCAUGAAGUUCAUCUACUACCGUAGUUUGGACAGAAUUGAUAAGGCUUGUGAAGUGCUUUGGGUGAAGGCUCUUGCAACACAAGCGUCUCCAAAACUCAGUUGUGGGUUGGCCUGGAAUGUAACCCGGACUUCACAGAGUGUGCUUUUCAGCAUGGAGUACCCUAGUUUUGUCAGAAUUGAUAAGGCUUGUGAAGUGCUUUGGGUGAAGGCUCAAUAUUCAAAACCCUGCUAUGCAUUGGCCUGGAAUCUAACCCGGACUUCACAGAGUGCGCUUUCAGGUAAGUAUUGUGCUGACUCAGCAAUUUGGUUUAAAAUUCGAAAGGAGCCUCACUUGCAUAUUUCAGCAGCAUGAAGUUCUUCUACUACCGUAGUUUGGAUAGAAUUCAUAAGGCCUGUGAAGUUCUUUGGGUGAAGGCUCAAUAUUCAAAACCCUGCUAUGCAUUGGCCGGGAAUCGGACCCGGGCCUCCCGCGUGGCAGGCGAGAAUUCUACCACUGAAACACCAAUGCCUUUGUUAAAGAACCAAGGAGUUCGGAG
ensembl:lncRNA